GGUGCUGCCCAGGGGGUUGGCGUUUUCGCAGUCCGACGACCUGGAUUCAAAUUCUGGUGCCGCCCUCUUAGCUAGAACCCCUGGAACAUAAUGAUAAAACACCGGCAGGUGCAGCGAAGGGGCCGCCGCUCACAGAUGACAACAAGUUUCACAGAUCCCGCCAUCUCCAUGGACCUCCUCCGAGCUGUCCUGCAGCCUAGCAUCAAUGAGGAGAUCCAGACUGUCUUCAACAAGUACAU